rnacentral:rRNA from 1 species
UACAGAGGUCUCAAGCGUUGUUCGGAUUCAUUGGGCGUAAAGGGUGCGUAGGCGGCGCGGUAAGUCGGGUGUGAAAUCUCGGAGCUUAACUCCGAAACUGCAUUCGAUACUGCCGUGCUUGAGGACUGGAGAGGAGACUGGAAUUUACGGUGUAGCGGUGAAAUGCGUAGAUAUCGUAAGGAAGACCAGUGGCGAAGGCGGGUCUCUGGACAGUUCCUGACGCUGAGGCACGAAGGUCGGGGGAGCAAACGGG